ACAGUACAAACUGAACAGGCACGGAUCAGGAAUCCGAAUGCCGGGUCACACAAUGUGACAACAGGUGAAAAAACAUCUGUGGGACAGU
rnacentral:ncRNA from 1 species